ensembl:lncRNA
UUUAGGAAAAGCACCUUUAAAGCCUGACUGUGGCAUCUCAUGAGAGAAAGCUAAAUCCACGGUUACGGUGCACUUGCUGAUGCACCUUUGCAGCAUGCAGUGGCUAUUGAGAGGGCAACUGGGAAGCUUACGGACUCAUGGAACCCUGCAUCUCUGGAGCCUGUAGGUUUCUGAGGAAUGCAAGUUUUCCCAUGAUUGAUCUGACUAUGGGAACACACCAAAAUAACACAGAUAUGGAACUUGUUCAGUGUAAUAAAAGAGUCAUGGGAAAAGCAGAAGUGGAGGAAACAAAGCAAAGAAGGUACUUAACAUUUCCAUGGCAUAUAAACCGAAAUUCAGUAUUUUAAGUGUGAAUAUUUACUGUUGGCCCUGCAACCUCAAAAAUGCCUCCAACAUAUGCAUGUCAUUCACGAUUUUCUACAGUUCUAAUUCAGCAUGCUGCUCAAGUUGUUGGGAGAAAAGUUGUGAGGAGAAAGGGCAAUACUGAACAAUGGCAAAAUUAACCUUGCAGCAACUAAGGCGGGAAUCCAACUUGGUUUCAGAUAAGCAGAAAUAAAUGGAUUUAUGCAUUCUUUGCACUGUGAAGUUUGUGUUUGACCCAAAUUAUGCUAGCUAAGGGUUUACCCCUGCAAGGACAGUCAAGGGAAGAAACCAGUUUUCUGUCCACCUUGACAAGAUAAAGCAAGCCAUCCUGCCUGGAUUGAAGAUGUUGGUAUCAGAGAAUCACAGAGUGGCCGAGGUUGGGAGGGACGUUUAGAAGCCAGUCGGUCCAACUCCUGUUUGCGCUGGGACACUUAGAGCCCAGCACCGUGCACUGGACCUUCAGAAGUUACACAGCCAAGGGAAGGAUGGACCUACUUCAGCUUGGUUUGGAAUGGUUUUCAGGCAGGGCAGAUACACAGAAUACAUGGGCUAUAACAAGGGCACAUCUUACGAUGGGCACCCACCUUAUCUACAUGUCACAGUAACCACAGCAUUUCCACUUUCUGAUGAAGUCACAUGGAUGCAUGAAAUGGAUACAGGCCUUCAGUGAUAGAGCCUAAUAAGGCGCAGGAGCAGAGCUUCAGAUCCAUAGCUGUAAACAUCCAAGAGUGCUGAAGAAAAAAGUUUUCACUGUGUUUAUCCAACUGCUUUGGACUAGGUCACUGUUCAGUAGAGAUCUUGUGCAAUCACAAACACCACUUCGGUGUGUCUAUCACCUUUAAAGCCCUCGUGUACAUCUUUUAAACCACUUCUCUGCUUAUUUUCUUGACUGCAUUUCUUUUAUUGUUCCUCUGACUCCAGCAGAAAGAAACAUCUGCAUGAGCUAAGCCAACAGCUUAGAUUUUUUUUUUCCCUAUUUACAGUAUAUGACUAAAUGGACAGUCCGGUUUUGAUCUGUAAAUAAAGUC